UUCUUUUGCCUCAUCUUCUCCUCAGUUGUUCAGACUGUAUAGCUGUGUGGACCCUUCCCCUGAGUACUGCUUGUUUUCUGAUGAGGCAGUGACCAGAACAUGGCGAAAUAAUGGAAAGAUCUGUCUUGGAGGACUGAACCUCUAAAUGCACCAAAUCCAGAUUAUCUGCUGUCAGUCAGACUCCUUUGGCAAGUCUGCCUUUUUUCUUCCAGCCGGCCCUACCUUAUCUGGCUUUGAAAAGAAGAUGCUUGUUACUGGAGAAAGACCGGCCUUCACUGCUGAUAUGAAGAGGAUCCUGUUGGGGAAACCCUUUCUACAGAUCCUGAUGCCUUCCAGUACACCGUUACAGCGCAGCUGGUGCAUCACCAGAGGAUUCUCCAUAGCCCCAGGAGUCUUGGUCUCAUUGGGGAUGAUGCAGCGUACAAAGUGAGGAUAACUAAAUUCUUGCAGAAACCUUCCGUGUGUUUCUGGAUCUCAUCCUCUUUCUCGCUGUAUGAGCACAGAGUUGUAACUGGAUUCAUCUAAGGACAGGCCAUGUGAGAUCAAGGUCAGCAUGCACUGCUAGACAAGUGUCAAGCAGAUGUCCACCCCUCACUUGUCUCCCUCUGCCAGCACAAGAACUACAGCAUCAUACCCUCCUGCUGCUGUGGAUGAACGAGAGUUACAGUACUUUGAAGACAAGGGGGACUACAGCACAGGAGAUCCCAAAGGUCUUAGGUGGCCGUCCGUGAGUUUCACUCCUCAUCUAGCCCUUUCUGUGAUGAAGAAUG